rnacentral:rRNA from 1 species
AACGAACGCUGGCGGCAUGCCUAACACAUGCAAGUCGAACGAGAUCCUUCGGGGUCUAGUGGCGCACGGGUGCGUAACGCGUGGGAAUCUGCCCUUAGGUUCGGAAUACAGGUAGAAAUUACUGCUAAUACCGGAUGAUUGCGUUUAGGUCAAAGAUUUAUCGCCUGAGGAUGAGGCCGGGUAGGAUUAGCUAGUUGGUGUGGUAAAGGCGCACCAAGGCGACGAUCCUUAGCUGGUCUGAGAGGAUGAUCAGCCACACUGGGACUGAGACACGGCCCAGGCUCCUACGGGAGGCAGCAGUGGGGAAUAUUGGACAAUGGGCGCAAGCCUGAUCCAGCAAUGCCGCGUGAGUGAUGAAGGCCUUAGGGUUGUAAAGCUCUUUUACCCGGGAUGAUAAUGACAGUACCGGGAGAAUAAGCCCCGGCUAACUCCGUG